rnacentral:precursor_RNA from 13 species
AAAUGACCGUUGGAAUGCCGGUACCCAGGCUGAGGUAGUAGGUUGUAUAGUUUAGAAUUACAUCAAGGGAGAUAACUGUACAGCCUCCUAGCUUUCCCUGGGACCUGCCAAAAGCAUCAUGGGUGAA